CUAACUAAAUAUUUCACAAGGUAAAACACUUAAGCAUGCUUGAGCCAGAGGAGUACUGGUAUGGGUGACCUCUUGGGAAGUCCUGGUUACUAGUUGAA
rnacentral:rRNA from 1 species